rnacentral:tRNA from 1 species
GCUCCUAUAGUUUAAUGGUAGAACAUUGUUCUUAUACAACAAGAGCCUGAGUUCGAUUCUCAGUGGGAGCA